UACAGAGGGGGCAAGCGUUAUUCGGAAUUAUUGGGCGUAAAGGGCGCGUAGGCGGCUUGGCAAGUGGAUGGUGAAAUCCCUCGGCUUAACCGAGGAACUGCCGUCCAAACUGCUUCGCUUGAGACCGGGAGAGGUGAGUGGAAUUCCCAGUGUAGCGGUGAAAUGCGUAGAUAUUGGGAAGAACACCAAUAGCGAAGGCAGCUCGCUGGGACGUUACUGACACUGAGGCGCGAAAGCGUGGGGAGCGAACAGG
rnacentral:rRNA from 1 species